GGAGGAAUAGUGGUCAAUGGGCGAGAGCCUGAACCAGCCAAGGAGCGUGCAGGAUGACGGCCCUAUGGGUUGUAAACUGCUUUUAUAUGGGAAGAAAGUGAGGGAAGUGUCCCUUAGUGCAGGUACCAUACGAAUAAGGAGCGGCUAAUUCCGUGCCAGCAGCCGCGGUAAUACGGAAGGUGCAGGCGUUAUCCGGAGGUAUUGGGUGUAAAGGGAGCGUAGGCUGUUUGUUAAGCGUGUUGUGAAAUGUAGGAGCUCAACUGUUAGAUUGCAGCGCGAACUGGCAGACUUGAGUGCGCACAACGUAGGCGGAAUUCAUGGUGUAGCGGUGAAAUGCUUAGAUAUCAUGACGAACUCCGCUUGCGAAGGCAGCUUACGGGAGCGCAACUGACGCUAAAGCUCGAAGGUGCGGGUAUCGAACAGG
rnacentral:rRNA from 1 species